rnacentral:rRNA from 1 species
CAUGCAUGUCUCCGAAUAACUAGUAGCUUGAUCCUGGAAUCUGCGAACGGCUCCGUAUAUCUGUUGUAACCCACCCCCGCCCAGGACCCCUCGGCAUAACCACGGUAAUUCUGUGGCUAAUACGUGUAACACCGGCCCCCCCCGCCCCCUGGGCGGGGGACAGCCGGACUCGCCGUGCACCACCGGUUCACCCGCGUGAGAGCUGGCGAGCGGACCUUACCGGGGGAGGUAAGCCCCUGGAGCGAGGGAUGGGCUUCAGACCUAUCAACUAGAUGGCCAGGGAUAGCCUGGCCAUGGUUAUAACGGGUACAGAGGAUCAGGGUUCGGUCCUGGAGAGGUAGCCUUAGAGAUCGCUACUACUUCUAAGGAAGGCAGCAGGCGCGCAACGUUCCCAAUGGGGAUACCCUGAGGACGUGAAGGGACAUACCAAUGCCCGGCCCUUAAAGCCGGGCAAUUGGAAUGGGGGACACUUAAACCCCACACCGAGUAACAAUUGGAG